UGCAAUGGCUUAGAGCAUAUGAUAGCUUAUGAUCAGCAGCGGAGAAAUUUUCAUUGUACACCUCCAACCGUCCAGUAUAAUACAUGUAAGUUACCUUAUCCCUAAGAGGAAACUCCUCGAAAUCGAAAAUGCGGGAAACUUCAAUGCUUCUUGUAACACUUUUACACAAGUGAACUGUUCCGAGCAUAAACUAAAUUUUGAAAAGCUGGCAGGUCACAUACAAAGCUCCAACACGUUUUUAUCCUUUUCCAACAAGGACUCCAAACACUUUCAUGAGAAAUGAGCCAACCCCUUUCAACUUUUCAGGAGUUUUUCCAUUAGAAGCAACUCUCUAUCUGCCCUUUCCGUUAGAAUUCUAGUUUCAUAGGCAAUGAAAUAAAGGGCUUCCAAAGCCCAAUCUGAUUCCCAGUUGUGGAACUCUUGAGUAAAUGCAUUGGCAGCUUUUUCAAAAGCCUGGUAAGAUUCAACCAAGUUUUUGAGUCGAUAACUUUGUAAGGCACGAAAUGGAGGGAGUAGUAUAUUCGCAUACUGAGAGUAUCUAUCAGCCUUUCUCAUUACUCUGCUAGAAUUCUAGAAAGUGAUGAGGGCAUCGGAUAGAGAAACGAGAAAAGAUGAAUUUGAAGAGAUAGAAAAAAUAAGGCAUAGAGACUUGGCGUCUUGAGAUGAAACAACAUCAGAGAAACGAUUUAGGAAGUCAGUAAUAUGUAUGUGAGCUUCUCCCAUGCUUAAAUAGGCUGAAGCCAUUCUUUCUUCUUCAAUCCAAUUGAAGCUUUUGGUUUUGAGCAGAAACCCAAAGAGGUUUAUGUCUUUCUCCGCGACUCACAACAACAAUGACACCACCCUCUAUCUAAGGCUAAAGUUAUCUCCUUCAAUACCCAUUUAUUGUUUAUUUUCUUUUGCAGCCAGGUGAUGUUCCAUGAACUGUUGCAUGUCCUUUCUUGAGUUUGGAUGCUAGUGAAGACUUUUCAUCAAUAAAAGCAAGAUUAACCAACAGUUUUCGUAGUGAUUUCUCGUUCCUUCUAAUCGUAAUGGUUGGGGUGAAUCACACAUUUCAAUAUAGCUUGUAAAACUAAUAGUAAUGAUAUAUUUUUGUGUUUGAAAUAUGUUUUAUUUCUUAAUACUAAUAUGUCCUUUUAGGUUUGGACUGUGAUGUACAUUAAUUAGUCAUUAAUAUUUAAAAUUGAAUAUAAUUAGCAGAAUGCUGUAAAAAUUUACAUGUUCAUGAAUUGCAGGGGUUGAAAACUCUUGUUAAUUUUAAUGUGAAAUUCAUAAAUUGUGGGGGG
rnacentral:lncRNA from 1 species